GACGAACGCUGGCGGCGUGCUUAACACAUGCAAGUCGAACGAUGAAGCUGGAGCUUGCUCCGGUGGAUUAGUGGCGAACGGGUGAGUAACACGUGAGCAAUCUGCCCUUGACUCUGGGAUAACUGCGGGAAACUGUAGCUAAUACCGGAUACGACCCUUGGAGGCAUCUCUGGGGGUGAAAGAAUUUUCGGGUCAAGGAUGAGCUCGCGGCCUAUCAGCUAGUUGGUGAGGUAAUGGCUCACCAAGGCGACGACGGGUAGCCGGCCUGAGAGGGCGACCGGCCACACUGGGACUGAGACACGGCCCAGACUCUACGGGAGCAGCAGUGGGGAAUAUUGGGCAAUGGAGGAAACUCUGACCCAGCGACGCCGCGUGCGGGAUGAAGGCCUUCGGGUUGUAAACCGCUUUCAGUA
rnacentral:rRNA from 1 species